rnacentral:lncRNA from 1 species
GCCUCUCCAAGAUCACACAGGUGAUGGGAAGAGAUUUGAAUACCCCAAUGAAAAUGUGAGAAGCCCUGUGGAAAGGUUUCUCAUUCUACUUGAGCUCAUUUCACAUUUUCAUGCCAAGGGGCAAUUAAGCCUUAUAAACAAAUUAAUCAUCUGGUGCCCAGGAUGGCAUGUCUUGUUUGUCCUCCCCCAAGCAAGGAGUACAGCAAGUUCCACAGCAGUGUAGAAGAUGACACUGCAGAAGAUUCCAUGGGCUAAUGCUGCUGUAAAUGAUCUUCUGGGGUCCUAGGAGACGGAUUUUUUCAUCAACAGAACUGCCACCAGUUACCCAAAUACUUCCCGUUGGGCUCAUCUGGAGGCUGCCCUGGGAGAGCCCCAGGUUAUGUAAGGAACAGGCAGCUGGGAGGAAGGGAUGUCCGAG